rnacentral:rRNA from 1 species
CCCCGGAAGGGGAGUGAAAUAGAACCUGAAACCGUGUGCUUACAAGUAGUCAGAGCCCGUUAAUGGGUGAUGGCGUGCCUUUUGUAGAAUGAACCGGCGAGUUACGAUUUGAUGCAAGGUUAAGCAGUAAAUGUGGAGCCGUAGCGAAAGCGAGUCUGAAUAGGGCGUUUAGUAUUUGGUCGUAGACCCGAAACCAGGUGAUCUACCCUUGGUCAGGUUGAAGUUCAGGUAACACUGAAUGGAGGACCGAACCGACUUACGUUGAAAAGUGAGCGGAUGAACUGAGGGUAGCGGAGAAAUUCCAAUCGAACCUGGAGAUAGCUGGUUCUCUCCGAAAUAGCUUUAGGGCUAGCCUCAAGUGAUGAUUAUUGGAGGUAGAGCACUGUUUGGACGAGGGGCCCCUCUCGGGUUACCGAAUUCAGACAAACUCCGAAUGCCAAUUAAUUUAACUUGGGAGUCAGAACAUGGGUGAUAAGGUCCGUGUUCGAAAGGGAAACAGCCCAGACCACCAGCUAAGGUCCCAAAAUAUAUGUUAAGUGGAAAAGGAUGUGGCGUUGCCCAGACAACUAGGAUGUUGGCUUAGAAGCAGCCAUCAUUUAAAGAGUGCGUAAUAGCUCACUAGUCGAGUGACACUGCGCCGAAAAUGUACCGGGGCUAAACAUAUUACCGAAGCUGUGGAUUGUCCUUUGGACAAUGGUAGGAGAGCGUUCUAAGGGCGUUGAAGCAUGAUCGUAAGGACAUGUGGAGCGCUUAGAAGUGAGAAUGCCGGUGUGAGUAGCGAAAGACGGGUGAGAAUCCCGUCCACCGAUUGACUAAGGUUUCCAGAGGAAGGCUCGUCCGCUCUGGGUUAGUCGGGUCCUAAGCUGAGGCCGACAGGCGUAGGCGAUGGAUAACAGGUUGAUAUUCCUGUACCACCUAUAAUCGUUUUAAUCGAUGGGGGGACGCAGUAGGAUAGGCGAAGCGUGCGAUUGGAUUGCACGUCUAAGCAGUAAGGCUGAGUAUUAGGCAAAUCCGGUACUCGUUAAGGCUGAGC